rnacentral:rRNA from 1 species
GAAGUUUUAAACAAUAUAGUUAUGAGUUUGAGUAGCAAUACAAUUACAAGUAACUAUUGAGUUUAUUUCGGAAGACCGACAUCUUAGUGGCAGACGAGGUAGUAAUAUAUAGGAACGUCCCUUCAGGUCAGGAAUAACUAGUCGAAAGAUUAGCUAAUACUUGAUAUAUAGCAAUAUGAAAGAUUUAUCGCCUGAAGAUCGGCCUAUACAGUAUCAGGUAGUUGGUAGGGUAAUGGCCUACCAAGCCUAUGACGCUUAGGAGAGCUGAGAGGCUGACCUCCACCGAUGGGACUGAGACACGGCCCAUACACCUACGGGUGGCUGCAGUCGAGAAUAUUCCGCAAUGGACGCAAGUCUGACGGAGCGACGCCGCGUGAACGAUGAAGUAUUUCGGUAUGUAAAGUUCUUUUAUGUGGGAGAAACGAUGAUAGUACCACAUGAAUAAGGGGUUGCUAACUCUGUGCCAGCAGCAGCGGUAAUACAGAGACCCCAAGCGUUAUCCGGAAUUAUUGGGCGUAAAGGGUGAGUAGGUGGUUUUAUUAGUCGGAUUUUAAAGUUCCCGGGCUCAACCUGGGAAAUGGAUUCGAAACGGUAAGACUAGAAUUUGUAAGAGGUCUGUGGAACUUUAUGUGUAGGGGUAAAAUCCGUUGAUAUAUAAGGGAACACCAAAAGCGAAGGCAGCAGACUGGUACAACAUUGACACUGAAUCACGAAAGCGUGGGUAGCGAUACGGAUUAGAUACCCGUGUAGUCCACGCCCUAAACGAUGACAACUAGCUUCUGGGAGUAUCGACCCUCUCAGUGGCGAAGCUAACGCGUUAAGUUGUCCGCCUGGGAAUUACGGCCGCAAGGCUAAAACUCAAAGGAAUAGACGGGGACCUGCACAAGCGGUGGAUUAUGUGGUUUAAUUCGACGGUAAACGAAAAACCUCACCAGGGUUUGAAACCUAACUGAAAGCCUUAUGAAAGUUUGGCCCUCGCAAGACAGUUAGGCAGGUGAUGCAUGGUCGUCGUCAGUUCGUGGCUUGAGUUGUUCCCUUCAGUGGGGAAACGAACGCAACCCUUGUUGUGUGUUAUAUGUAUCACACGAGACUGCCCAGCCCAAUGUUCGCAAUUUGAAAAAAUUGUUAAUACUGGGCUGGGAGGAAGGAGAGGAUGACGCCAGAUCAGCAUGUCCCUUUGACACCCUGGGCUACACAC